UACGUAGGCGGUUUAUUAAGUCAGAUGUGAAAGCCCCGGGCUUAACCUGGGAACUGCAUUUGAUACUGGUAAACUAGAGUAUGAUAGAGGGGGGUAGAAUUCCUAGUGUAGCGGUGAAAUGCGUAGAUAUUAGGAGGAAUACCAGUGGCGAAGGCGGCCCCCUGGACCAAUACUGACGCUGAGGUACGAAAGCGUGGGUAGCGAACA
rnacentral:rRNA from 1 species